GACGUAGGGCGCGAGCGUUGUCCGGAUUUAUUGGCGUAAAGAGCUCGUAGGCGGCUUGUCGCGUCGACUGUGAAACCCGCGGCUCAACCGUGUGGUCUGCAGUCGAUACGGGCAGGCUAGAGUUCGGUAGGGGAGACUGGAAUUCCUGGUGUAGCGGUGAAAUGCGCAGAUAUCAGGAGGAACGACCGGUGGCGAAGGCGGGUCUCUGGGCCGUAACUGACGCUGGAGGAGCGAAAGCGUGGGGAGCGAACAG
rnacentral:rRNA from 1 species